rnacentral:rRNA from 1 species
AUUGAACGCUGGCGGCAGGCCUAACACAUGCAAGUCGAGCGGAGCGGCGGCCGGGUGAGUACUGCCUAGGAAUCUGCCUGGUAGUGGGGGAUGCGUCCGGAAACGGGCGCUAAUACCGCAUACUCUCAGAUGAGCCUAGGUCGGAUUAGCUAUUUGGUGGGGUAAAUGCCUACCAAGGCGACGAUCAGUAACUGGUCUGAGAGGAUGAUCAGUCACACUGGCACUGAGACACGGUCCAGACUACGACGGGAGGCAGCAGGGGGGAAUAUUGUACAAUGGGAGAAAGCCGGAUGCAGCCAUGCAGCGUGUAUGAAGAAGGUCUUCGGAUUGGAAAGCACUUUAAGUUGGGAGGCGUUACCAACAGAAUAAGCACCGGGUAACUGCGUGCCAGAAGCCGCGGUAAUUC